UCCGAGCUCAUUACAGGAAUAGUCGUGAUCAGUCAGUCUGGUAGUCAGACUAGCUUCUUCGUUACAACAAACUUUUUAGUUAAAAUUUACGUAUUCUUCAUGCAAGGAAAUGAAUAGUGAAAUUAAGUCUCCCGAAAUACACUUAGAUAAACUUUCAGAUGCUACAACAGAAAAUAUAAGCCUCAAUUCUCAUUGUGCAUGUACCGUAGGAGAAUAUGAAUGCACCCGAACUUUCGUAUGUUCACGACGAAAUCUCAUCUAUAUCAUCUUAUCGAUUGUGAUAUUCAUCGGCAUCAGCAUCAUCGUCAUCGUCAUAGCCAGAGGUAUUAAAUUUAUCAAAUU